CAGAAAUGAAGCAGAGAAAAAGUCAAAUUCUGCUUCUCGUCUCACUGACUCUGCCCUGUGUGGUUUCAAGCUCGACGUGUUUCGGUGACAGCAGUCCUGCAGAGACAAAAGGUGAAGC